CCUACGGGUGGCAGCAGUGAGGAAUAUUGGUCAAUGGGCUUACGCCUGAACCAGCCAAGUCGCGUGAGGGAAGACUGCCCUAUGGGUUGUAAACCUCUUUUGUCAGGGAGCAACGCCGGCUACGUGUAGCCGGACUGAGAGUCCCUGAAGAAAAAGCAUCGGCUAACUCCGUGCCAGCAGCCGCGGUAAUACGGAGGAUGCGAGCGUUAUCCGGAUUUAUUGGGUUUAACGGGUGCGUAGGGGGGAUGUAAAGUCAGCGGGAAAAUCGCGGGGCUCAACCUCGCAGCGCCGUUGAAACUGGCGGUCUUGAGUAGUCGAGAGGUAGGCGGAAUGCGUGGUGUAGCGGUGAAAUGCUUAGAUAUCACGAAGAACUCCGAUUGCGAAGGCAGCAUACCGGCGGCCAACUGACGCUGAAGCACGAAAGCGUGGGUAUCGAACAGGAUUAGAUACCCUUGUAGUC
rnacentral:rRNA from 1 species